UACGUAGGGUCCGAGCGUUGUCCGGAAUCAUUGGGCGUAAAGAGCGUGUAGGCGGCUCGGUAAGUCCGCUGUGAAAGUCCAGGGCUCAACCCUGGAAUGCCGGUGGAAACUGCCGGGCUAGAGUCCGGAAGAGGCGAGUGGAAUUCCUGGUGUAGCGGUGAAAUGCGCAGAUAUCAGGAGGAACACCAAUGGCGAAGGCAGCUCGCUGGGACGGUACUGACGCUGAGACGCGAAAGCGUGGGGAGCAAACAGG
rnacentral:rRNA from 1 species